AGUACCUUUAAUUUAAGUCCAGAGAGGCUUGCAAGGCAACUAGAUAUUCAGGGUAGGAGUGUAUACUUUUACUGUAAUUUUCUAGAACCGUGUGAGUCUCCUGACUUACACGGUUUUUUGUAU
rnacentral:sRNA from 1 species